UCUGGGCCGCACGCGUGCUACAUUGAAGGAGUCAACAUGUUUUCUCCCGGCCCGGAAGGGCUGGGUAACCCGAUCAAUUUCCUUCGUGCUGGGGAUAGCGGGCUGUAAUGUCCGCUUGAACGAGGAACCCCCAGUAAGCGCGAAUCAUCAGUUCGUGCUGAUUACGUCCCUGGCCUUUGUCCACACCGCCCGUCGCUGCAACCGAUUGAGUGAUUUAGUGAGAUCUUCGGACCAGCUUCCGGGUUGGCCUCCGGGUCGAGCCGGUGUGCCGGAAAGAUGACCGAACUUGAUUACUUAGAGGAUGCAAAAGUCGUAACAAGGCAACC
rnacentral:rRNA from 1 species